rnacentral:rRNA from 1 species
UACGUAGGGUGCGAGCGUUGUCCGGAAUUAUUGGGCGUAAAGAGCUCGUAGGUGGCGGGUCACGUCGGGUGUGAAAGCCCGGGGCUUAACUCCGGAAUUGCCUUUAAAACUGCAUCGCUAGAAUUGUGGAGAGGUAAGUGGAAUUCCGAGUGUAGAGGUGAAAUUCGUAGAUAUUCGGAAGAACACCAGUGGCGAAGGCGACUUACUGGACACAUAUUGACGCUGAGGUGCAAAAGCGUGGGGAGCAAACAGG